rnacentral:lncRNA from 1 species
GUGCGCAGCGCGGCGUGGUUUCGCGAGAAAUGUAAACGAGAGAGGAGAAUCUGGCCCGACACGAUGGCGGAGCAAAGCUAUGAGCA